ACCUAAUAGAUACCCCGGUAGUCCACGCCCUAAACGAUGCGAACUGGAUGUUGGGUACAUUACGGUACUCAGUGUCGAAAGCUGACGCGUUAAGUUCGCCGCCUGGGGAGUACGGUCGCAAGACUGAAACUCAAAGGAAUUGACGGGGGCCCGCACAAGCGGUGGAGUAUGUGGUUUAAUUCGAUGCAACGCGAAGAACCUUACCUGGCCUUGACAUCUGUCGAAUCCUGCAGAGAUGCGGGAGUGCCGCAAGGAACGACAAGACAGGUGCUGCAUGGCUGUCGUCAGCUCGUGUCGUGAGAUGUUGGGUUAAGUCCCGCAACGAGCGCAACCCUUGUCCCUAGUUGCCAGCACAUCAUGGUGGGAACUCUAGGGAGACUGCCGGUGACAAACCGGAGGAAGGUGGGGAUGACGUCAAGUCCUCAUGGCCCUUACGGCCAGGGCUACACACGUACUACAAUGGUCGGUACAGAGGGUUGCGAAGCCGCGAGGCGAAGCCAAUCCCAGAAAACCGAUCCCAGUCCGG
rnacentral:rRNA from 1 species